AUGGCCGUGGUCAGCAGAGCCCGUGCUUCCCUCCCUUCGCCGUCAUCGUCGCCAUUGACAGCCUUCUCCCCUCGGUCGCCGCAGCCCGAGGUGGCGGAGAGGAUGUUCACACGUGGAGGGAGCGGCCGGUCGUCGUCGUCCAGUGCCAGCGGGGCCAACAGGAGCGCCAGCCUCAGAGAGAUCGACGAAGAGGCCGCCAUCUUGCACGAUGCUUAUGAUGAUGACGGCGUAGGGAAGCUGUAUGUCGCCGUCGGGAAGGACGUCAAGGACGGCAGGUCCAACCUCGUCUGGGCAGCUCGGAACCUCCUCGCCGGUGAUCCCAAGCUUGUCCUGCUGCACGUCCACCAGCCUGCCGACAGAAUCAUGAUAGGAUUAUGCAAGGUUCCAGCAAGCCAGGUCGAAGAAAAGGAGCUCAAAGCAUACAGAAAGAUUGAGAAGGAGGAGAUGAACACACUUUUAAACCAGUACCUCAAUUUCUGCAGAGUUUCUCUCAAGAUGCAAGCUGAAACGCUGGUGAUCGAGAAGAACAGUCCUGCAAAUGGGAUUAUCGAGCUCAUUGAUCAAAAUCGCAUUACAAAGCUUGUUAUGGGAACAUCUUCCUUCUCAGUGAAGAGGAAAGUACCAAAAUCAAAAGUUGCAGCCAGUGUGCAUCUGCAGGCCAAACCAUAUUGCCAGAUCUUCUAUAUUUGCAAAGAGGCUCUUGGUUGCUCUAGGGAGGCCACUGAGCUUUGUGCAAAAGUAGAGUCACCCCGAAGUAGCUUCGCAAGCACUAUCUCAGAUCAACCUGAGUUAACUCCAAGAUCCCUAUCACUGCCACCAGGGCAUCCAGGUCUCUUAGCCUCUACAGGCCAACAACCCCUUCCACGACGGUCCAACUCAGUCAGUUAUCCCUUGUCCGGAUUGAUAGCAGAUGUAGAAAUCAUGUCACCUGCAAGGCGGCAGUCGAUUGAUAUGACACCAACAGAUUCCUCUCCGAGUUCCAGCCAGCAAAGUACUGGUGGGUCCUCAUUGGGUCUGAGGGAUUUGGACAGCAUGGAUGGUUCACCAGUGCCUGUUUCAGUUGCAAGCUCUGAAGAACAUCAGCACUCUACAGUAAGCUAUGUGGAAAUACGUGAAAUGUUUGAGCAACUGCACCGAGUCCGCAAUCAGCUAGAGCGCUCGAAAAAGGAAGCAUCUGAGGGCCGGCAGAAAGCCGAGAAGAACCUGUUUGAAUCUUCUAUGAUGUUCAAAGCACGGGAGAGUUCACUCCGCAACGAAAAAAAGGAGGUAGAGGAAAGGCUAACAAGAGAAAAGGCUGACCUUGAAAAAGAGCACAUCCAUGUAUGCAACGAGCUGCAGAAGGCAAAUGAGCAAAGAGCAGAAUUGGAGAGCAAGCUUCUUCAGACAAACACCCUAAUGGAAGAGCUCCAACAGUUGCAAGCAGAGCUGCAGCGCGAGAAGGACCAUGCUGUUAAAGAAGCUGAAGAAAUGCGCCAAACAAAUGGUAAUAGUGUAUUUGGCUCAACUAGUGCUGUUGCCCUAACAGAAUUCAGCUACGAGAUAGAAGAGGCAACGGACAACUUUAAUGACUCCAAAAAGAUUGGCAGUGGUGGGUGUGGAACCGUCUACAAGGGAUUUCUCCGUCAUACUACCGUAGCCAUAAAGAAAUUCAACCGUGAAGGCACAACAGGAGAUAAAGAGUUCAAUGACGAGGUAGAAACACUUUCUAGGAUGAGGCAUCCAAACCUUGUCACUCUGAUAGGAGUGUGCAGGGAGGCCAAAGCGUUGGUCUUCGAAUUCCUGUCGAAUGGAAGCCUAGAGGACUGUCUGCAGUGCGAGAACCAAAGAGAGCCGCUCUCAUGGCGAAUGCGCAUCAGAAUAGCUGCCGACAUCUGCACGGGACUUAUCUUCCUCCACUCUAACAAACCAAAAGGCAUUGCCCAUGGCGAUCUGAAGCCUGACAAUGUCCUUCUUGACAAUAGCUUUGUUUGUAAACUGGCAGACUUUGGAAUCUCUCGUCCCUUGGAUCUGACAAACACCACUGUCACCCCUUACCACCGAACAAACCAAAUCAAAGGCACAAUGGGAUACAUGGAUCCAGGAUACAUUGCCUCAGGGGAGAUCACAGCUCAGUAUGACGUCUACUCCUUUGGUGUGGUUCUGAUGCGGUUGCUGACUGGCAAGAGCCCCCUAGGCCUUCCAAAUGAGGUGGAGGCAGCCUUGAGCAAUGACAUGUUGCAAGAUAUAAUUGACACUUCUGCAGGGGAAUGGCCACCUGAGUACACUGAAGAGUUGGCAAGAUUAGCACUCAGAUGUUGCCGGUAUGAACGAAAGGAGCGGCCUAAUCUUGCAAAUGAGGCCUGGGGUAUCCUGCAAGCAAUGAUGAACUGCCCAGACGAUAAAUGCAAGCCACCAACAUUUUUCAUCUGUCCAAUGACACAGGAGAUCAUGAGGGAUCCACACAUUGCUGCUGAUGGAUUCACAUAUGAAGGUGAGGCUAUCAAGGACUGGCUUCAAAGGGGGCAUAAAAUGUCCCCCAUGACCUACCUCGGCUUCACACACCAUGAGUUAAUACCAAACACUGCCCUUCGUUUUGCAAUUCAAGAAUGGCAAAUGCAACAGCAACCGUGA
rnacentral:rRNA from 1 species